GACAGCAGCCAUAUCACCCUACAACCCACAACUGGUAGUCCUCUGGAGCUCAGCAGGUGUGAGCCUGGUCAGUAUCUGGAUGGGAGACCUGCUGGGAAAAACAUUGGUUGCUGCUGGAA
rnacentral:rRNA from 1 species